GUUGCUAAUGGGGACGGAGUUCAAGCAGGCGAUAAAAGUUGUAGAAGAGGGAAACAAAUACUUUACUCGUCGCAUUUAUGGACCGACAUCCACCGUUUGGGUUCUGAUUAAUCUACAACUGCUGAUACAAUGGUGGUGGAUGUACUUAGAGACAAUAAGAAAAAAAGACACUGUGACGCAAGGGAAAGCCUGAUGAGAUAAGCAUUGGUUGGGAAAUUGAUAAGAUCUACAAGUUUGACGGAGGGUAGAAACUAACUCUUGAAAGCAUAGCUUCUUCCUAUUUAUACUUAAUGAUCCUUAUUGAGGAAACAUCCAAUGAUCUUGUGAUUUCAAGAGAAAGUCCUAUAUGAGUGAACUCUGUUACUGAUUGAGAUCCUUAUACUCCAUAUGAUGCACAAAUAUUUUAAUGACACGUGAUACGUCCCGAGUACACGGAGAAUUGUGCUUUCUGACAAGUGACAAAGCAUUUGAUCAAGUGUCUAUUAGUUGGCUUCCUUCCUUCCGACAUGGAUCGGUAUAUAUGAUGUAUAUAUGUUAAUGUAUAUAGUUGCAGUUUGUGAUCAUCUCUUUGUAAAAGCUCAUAUGAUGCUAUAUGUGGAUCUGCCAUGAAUGCAUAGUUAAUUAUAUAACUAUUUCUCUGCUCAGGUAUGGAAUGAAACAUUUUUGUUGUUGCUUAGUAUAAUUGAUUCAGUACUAUGGAAGGGUCAUUUGCAGGGACCAAUUGAUAAUUUGCUUACACUAAUUAUGAUCAUUUGCAGCACUUGCAACACCAGCAUUCCACUACUCCCUUUAUAAGAUAUAUGUAUGUAUGUUGC